UUGACUUUCUCAUUCAUUUUGUUUGUUAAUCUUUGUAAUCUAUGAAAACAAUGUUUCAAUUUGUGUAUAUAUAUAUAGAUCCCUGUGUUCUUUUUAGAUUUCUCUUUUUUGUAAUUCUCGUCCUUGCCUUUGCUCAUUGCUUAGUGGUGGUGCUUCCCUCAGCGUUGCUAUAAAUUAAACUCUAGCUCUAGCACUCCCUGCUGCUUGUAAUGUGCAGACUUCAACAAUUAGCCAGUGUAAUGUUAUACUAGAGAAAACUGCCCACAAACAGUGUGGCAAUUGCAGGAGGGACUGGUCAGAUUGUUAAAGGGAUCUUGAAAUGCAGCAAUGCGUACACCAACCAAGUUUGUUUUCACCAACUUAUUAGCAAUGCUGGAUUUUAUGAUAUUGGUUGAGUCACAUAGGAAGGCUGCUGCUGCAACUGCCUCUGGUAAAUUUAAAGAGGAAAUAAUCCCCGUGGAUACCUAGAUUGUUGAUCCAAAAACUGGAGAUGAGAAACCCAUGACGAUCUCAGUUGAUGAUGGAAUUUGGCCAAACGCAACGAUAUCAGACUUGGCAAAACUAAAGCCUACAUGUAAGAAAGACGGGACAACCACUGCUGGUAUUAUUGUUUAUUUAUUUAGUCUCUAAUUAUUUUUU